GGAGAGGUGCCCGAGUGGCUGAAGGGGCGCGCCUGGAAAGCGCGUGUGCCGGUUCCCGGUACCGAGGGUUCGAAUCCCUCUCUCUCCG
rnacentral:tRNA from 1 species